CACUCGAGUUAUUCUGCCCGAGCGGGGGGAGACGGCUGCAAAACAAUUCCCGACUUCUCCCCUCUGGCGGAUUUACCCUUUGUAACCUACGUAACUAAAGCUGUUGCAGCUCRAGUCCAGCCUGCUGCCCUGGCGAGCGGCUCGGGCCGCAGCCUCUUCUCCUUCCCGGCCUCGCCUGCUAUUUACCUCGCUGGGCGCCCCAGCAAAGAAAGGGGCGCUCCAGGUGACGGCAGGAAGCAUCCAAAAAGCCCCAAGCGGAUGGUGAGCACCUCAAAACAGGCCUAAACCCCACGAGAAAAGGCAGGUUCRUGUUCAGCUCUGCCGUCUGCCCUGCCACUGAACGGCCUCUUUGCCUUAGGCCGGGUCGUUCUGCUCUCAUCCCCUCGGCUGCCAGUUCCUGACAGGAUGAGCUCUUCCCUGGAAGCGUUAUUCCCCCGCCUGGCACAGGUAGACCCACAUGGAUUAGCUCCCGCUGUAGUAAAAGCUGCCAAUCACUGCUAGAAAAGCUAGAAAUACGAAGGUGAGGGAAGCUGGGCCAGGGRAGGCGGGGA